rnacentral:rRNA from 1 species
AUUAAAUUAGUGGCCGGACGGGUGAGUAACGCGUAGGAAUCUAUCCGUGGGUGGGGGAUAACUCUGGGAAACUGGAGCUAAUACCGCAUGACACCUGAGGGUCAAAGGCGCAAGUCGCCUGCGGAGGAGCCUGCGUUUGAUUAGCUUGUUGGUGGGGUAAUGGCCUACCAAGGCGAUGAUCAAUAGCUGGUCUGAGAGGAUGAUCAGCCACACUGGGACUGAGACACGGCCCAGACUCCUACGGGAGGCAGCAGUGGGGAAUAUUGGACAAUGGGGGCAACCCUGAUCCAGCAAUGCCGCGUGUGUGAAGAAGGUUUUCGGAUUGUAAAGCACUUUCGGCGGGGACGAUGAUGACGGUACCCGCAGAAGAAGCCCCGGCUAACUUCGUGCCAGCAGCCGCGGUAAUACAAAGGGGGCUAGCGUUGCUCGGAAUGACUGGGCGUAAAGGGCGUGUAGGCGGUUUGUACAGUCAUAUGUGAAAUCCCCGGGCUUAAACCUGGGAGCUGCAUUUGAGACGUGCACACUGGAGUGUGAGAGAGGGUUGUGGAAUUCCCAGUGUACACGUGAAAUUCUUAGAUAUUGGGGAAGAAACAC